rnacentral:misc_RNA from 1 species
AUUACAAUUUCAAUCUCAAGCUCAUUGCGGGUAGUUGUGAAAAACAAUCAACAUAGUCUUUGGACAACGCUCUUAUAAUGUAAGUGUGUAACAUUUUACAAUUAUUUGUUAAACGUAAUGAGUUAGUACAUUAAUUUCGGAAUGAGCGAAAACUUUACUUGAAAAAUUGAAUUCCAGAGUAAGAGAUGGUGCAUCGAUGGAUAAGCAGAAGGCGCCAGAAGCUCCCAACCAUUGUAGUUCCCGGUGUUGACUUGGGAAAUAUGGAGAUGCAGAGGAGUAUGGUGAGAAUGGCAGUACAUUUACGUGGUUCGUGACGCAGAACAAACGAAUCAAAGGAAAAAGCAUCUCAACUACAAGAACUAUUCAACGCGGACCAAGUCACGGGCAGUAGCAAGUCGGACGAUAAUUAUACAAAUUCUGAGUUGAACAACUUGUUGAAAUAUCAGAACACCAGAAAACAAGUCUGAGCGAUUAGGGUCCGACACGGAGAUGGCGGCUGUUCCAGCUCGUCAUUACUGCGCACCGGAAACCACCGCGGACAGCUGUCGACCUGUGCAGGGGUACAUUUGAAACAUAAGACGAUGUACUUGGAGGGUAGUCUUAUUACUUUACUUAGCCUGGCUUAAUAUUAACCGAAUUCGAAUUCUAUAUUCUAUUCCACUGUAAUCUUUAUGUCCGUUACCUCGUAACUUUAAUCGGUGCUUGUCAGUCCCUCAAACUUUUCAAAAAAUGUUUACAUCACAUCGAGUCCCGUGAGAAUGGAAAUAGACUUAGAGGUUCUCGCUGACCUUUCUUCUGGUUUAUAUGACAGUUGAAGAUAUCCAUUGUUUUGUUGUGACAUUUUCAACAUUUUUGUGUAGCUCGACGCAAGCUAAUUGUUAACUGAACGCUUAGUGUGAAGAGCAGCAUAUAUGAUACAUAAUUAUACUUUCAGCAGUUAAUCAAUUGUCUCGUUGCAAUCCUUCCAGCUGUUGAGUAACUUUAACGUAACAAAGUAUUAGGCACAUAGUCAUACUUACCUUGGUCGUCUAAUGCUUCAGGAUUUAGCUUUUCUUUCACUUUUAUCUGUCGGCAAACAUGUCGAAUAUUUUAGAAUUCGUAAAAUUUAUUUUCAAAGGUUUAUUAACUAAGUUACAACAAUGAGUUCGAGAUACUGUUGCUUCGAUAUUUCGUCAUAUCCGUUUGUUACUAUGUAAUAAGAGAAUGUCUGGUGGAAUUAUUUUAUUUUUCACUAGGUCUACAAAAACCAUGUCGUAUAUCUACGUUUUAAGGAAAGCUUACCAUAGGUACCUAGAAUACCCACUAAAGCCCAUCGGUGUCUUUUGUCCCAAGGGAUCGCUUUCGUGUACUAAUGUAAUACCCACCCACCUGUGUGGGCCACCUUCGUCUAUAGAACGCCCGUGGGCUCUGUGAAAAGAAUGGUGCCCUUCUCCCACUUUAUUACGAAGGGUGAAAGAGCGCAUAUUGGCGUCUCCUACCCCCUCGUCGUCUCCUGCGGAGCGCGUUAUCGCACCCGUCGGCUUCGUGGAUUCUCUCUGCGGACUUUUUAGUGCCAUGACCUUCUCGAAAGAGGUCAACAGGAGGAAGGAGCUUGCACGGAAACAAAAUUUCAAAAUUAAAUUAGACUAAUACGUAAAUUGAAAGCUAAAGACACGCAAACAUACGUCAUUAGGUACACUUAAUGUGUAUAGUCAGUUUAGUAACGUUUAAAUAACAAUGAACACUAGUACUUACUUUAGGGUCGAAUGCCUCUAAUAGGGGUCUCGUCGCCUUGGAGCCAUCUCUCCAGUAUUUUUUUCAAUCGGCACCUUUAUAAAUAUAAAUAUCAAAAGGUGAUGAAUAUCGUUACAACUUUGAAGACUUGCUGAACGUAUUUUUAGGGGUCACUUACAGACAGAUUGAUUUAUGAAAUAUGUUCAUGUGUGUAAUUUGAUCAGAUUUUAAUGAAAUGAUUCGGAAUUAAACCGUAUCCGUGGCGUUGGAGACGGUUGGGCAGGAUGGUGCAGCAAUCUGCGUAGGUUAGCCGUUUCAGUUUGGCUAUGCUGGAGAUUGAAUUUGGGUUGAGUGGUCGGUGACGUUCGCUUAAUUACGUUUAACUAACAAUGGACACAAACACUUUGGCUCGAAUGCCUCCAUUAAUAGACGUCUCGUGGCUUUGGAGCCAUCCUUCCAGUAGUUUUUUCAUUCAUGUGUACUUUGUUUAGAUUUUAAGGAAAUAGUUGGAAUAAAACCAUCUGCCGUAUUUCAUCAAAUCCGUUUGCAACUUUAUAAUAAGAGAACGCCCGGUGGAAUUAUUCCUCUUCUAUAGGUUUACAAAACCAUGAUAUAUUUACGUUUAAAGCAGAUCUCACCAAAUCCAUUCUAAGUUCUACUUACGAUUAUAUCUGUCUCAUAAAAAUAAAAUAAAUGUAUGAUAUAUUCAUAUAGUAAAGGAACUACAUUAACAGGAGAUAAAUGUACUCACAGUAUUAAUGAUUAUAUCUGUAUGUUACAGUCUAUGGUUGAGUGAAAGACGACAUGUGAGGGAAGGUUAUGAGGGAAACCAAACCCAAUGAAAGUCGAUCUAACACU